rnacentral:rRNA from 1 species
UACAGAGGGCGCGAGCGUUGUCCGGAAUCACUGGGCGUAAAGGGCUCGUAGGCGGCCAACUAAGUCAGACGUGAAAUCCCUCGGCUUAACCGGGGAACUGCGUCUGAUACUGGAUGGCUUGAGUUUGGGAGAGGGAUGCGGAAUUCCAGGUGUAGCGGUGAAAUGCGUAGAUAUCUGGAGGAACACCGGUGGCGAAGGCGGCAUCCUGGACCAACACUGACGCUGAGUGAGCGAAAGCCAGGGGAGCAAACGGG